rnacentral:lncRNA from 1 species
CCCCCACCAUUUGCCUAUAAAUACCAAGCCUUCCCCCACCCAUUUUCUUCAAGCUAAGAGCCAAAUAUAUGCUGAGAUUUUGAAGUGAAAAUACUCUCCCAAAGUUUAUUCAAGCACCCACCAUAUUUACUUCAUCUUUAAAACCUUCGAUUCUUCAUAUACUUCGUUAUAUACACAAGGUUUUAAACCCCGAGGCUUCGUACCACCCAACCUAGCCAAAUCUCGCUUAGCUCAUUUUCAUACCACUCUUUUUGUCCUCCCGAAGGGCUCUCCAAAGUUCGUGUGCAAAGCCAAAAUCCGGUCGAACCUCCGACGAAUUCUUCCGGCGAACUUUUUGUAAGUAGUUAUUUUAGCUUCGUUUUACUCGUGUCUUAACCGACCAUUUUUAACAAAGGGCUUUUGAACAAAAAUAUUCUCUUCAUCUUUAAAGCUCUCCUUGUUUACAAAACUCACGAGUUAGCCACUCGUUAUAUAUUUGUGCGUGUGUUUUGUCCCGGAACCUAACUCGUAUCCUUUGAGAUUUCCUCACCAAACUUUGGAGGGAUCUUUGCCUUGGCACGGAAAGCCGGAUAUAAGGCCAAAGGUAAUAAGUUAGUUAUUGUUGUGCGUGCUAUCUGUGCUUAACUGUUAUAUCCCUACGCCCAACAUGCCCUUUCUCGUUUGGUGAACGUUUCCAUAUGUGCGGUGCUUCGUGGAAAUACUAACCUUACGAGUUACGUGGUUCCCGAUCCCGUGUGUGUGAGUGUGAUUAUCGACUGCGUCUUAUAUCUAUAAAUCACUCCACACUAAUUAAUAUAACUCUCGUAGCGUGCCCUUACGUGGCUUGCUCAGGUUAUUAAAAUCAAUCCGAUUUAAAAUCAACUAUUUAUAUUUUCCGCGCAAUAUAAAUUGUUGGACUAAUCACCGUUAGAUUUGUUAUAAUUGACGAACCUUAUACCUGACCGUGAUUAUUGGACUGAUUUAGCGGACUAAAAAUCUUAUUAAAACAAGGAUAUAUUUUUGUAGAUAUUGUGUUCUAACUUUUGCAGUGAGGUGAAGUGAAGUGAGGUGAUCUUCGUUCUAAGACCCAAGUCCUUGACGUAUUGACGGGGAGUUAAUAGUCAUUGCACCGUGAAGAAGAGGAAAGACCCAAGAUCUAAUACCUAAGAUCCAAGACCGGCAAAAGGUGUAGAAGUACAAAGACUACACAAGGUUCUACAUCGACUUUGAGGAAGUAACGGGGAGUUACGUUCCGAGACAAGCUUUGUAGGAGUUUUUACAUUUAUAGUGAGGAGGUAACGGGAAGUUGCGCUCCAAGAUAUAUAUUUGUAAAGGCUUUUCCGCCUACUUUAAAGGAGUAUCUUUAUAGUAGAGAAAAUCUUGAGUCCGGGGAGGAGCUCGGGGACUGGACUAGGGGUGAGUGGACUCCAUCGGUUGAGUUAGCCACCGCGAACCAGGAUAAAAUCCCUCGUGUGGUAUUUUUCUUUCUUUGCUUUUUGCUUCCGCAUUUACAACUGCCAUUACUCUAGAUACAAGCUUUUAAAAAGGGGAUAAACUUUUUAAAACGCCAUAAAGUUUUUAAACUGGUGAUUAAGCUAUUCAACCCCCCCUUCUAGCUUAAUUAUCCCUAUAUACGGACCUAACAGUUGGUAUCAGAGCAGUUGCUUUUAUUUGUGCUAUUUGAUUUUUAAGCACUACAAAAAGUAGAUCCGAUAUGGCUUUUAUCAAUGCCAUCGGUUGUAGUGAAGGUCUCUCAAAUUCUAGACCUCCUUUAUUUGAUGGCACGAACUUUGCCACAUGGAAAACAAGAUUUCGCAUUUAUGCUAGAAGUCAAGGUGUCAAAGUUUGGAUGGCCAUAGAAGAUGGUACAAUUAUUCCGACUAAAAUAGUCGACGAUAUUACUAUCGAAAAGAAAGUAAGUGAAUAUACUCACGAUGAGGAAGAUAGAAUGAAUAUCGCCGCUAAAGCGGAAAUGGUUCUCACAAGUGCACUUGCAGAAAAAGAAUAUAAACGAGUAAACAAUUGCAAGUCCGCACAAGAAAUGUGGAACAAGUUAGUAGUAACCUAUGAAGGAACUACCGACAUAAAAGAUUCUCGAAUGGAUACUUUGAUCCAAGAAUACGAGAACUUCAAACUCCAAGAUGGAGAAAAUAUCAUCGACAUGGAAACAAGAUUUACUCGUAUAGUCGAUGAAUUAGCUCAACUCGGAAAGAACUAUACUCGAAAUGAGAAGAAUCGUAGGGUUCUUAAAUCUUUACCUCCGAGUUGGAAAGUUAAAGUUACAACUAUCAAAGAGAUGCACAAUCUCAAUGAUUACCACAUCGAUAACUUAUUCGGAAACCUUCGUGCUUACGAAGAAGAUAAUGUUCCGGAUAUUGUCGUUCCUAAAGUGGAAGACAAAAAGAAAAAUAUGGCUUUAAAGUCCAUAUUAAUCGAUGAGGAUGAAAACGACGAGGAGUUGAAUGAAGAACUCCAAAAUCUCGAUGAAAGCGAGAUCGCUCUCUUAACGAGACAACUUCGUCGUGUACUUCAAAGUAAAGCUCAAAGGUAUGGAAAAGGCUUCCUUAAAUCGAAUAAUCAACAAAGAGUUUUUAACUCUAAUGGAAGGCCUAAUUACUCUCAAAACUAUACUCCUAAUUAUAAGAGUAAUUAUCCUACUACGGGCUAUAACAAAGGCAAAGUCAAUCAAAGCCCUAAUGCUUAUAAUCAUGCCAAUAACAACCAUACUUACACUCCUCCUAAACCAAAAGAACAAAAUCCGGAGGAAGCACAGGAUGUGUGUUUCGAGUGUAAGCAACCCGACCACUUUAAACGGGAAUGUCCUAAACUUUCCAAAGGAAGGAUUCUCGUGGCCGAAAAUGGUUGGGAUUUAAGUGAAGAUGAAGAGAUCUCGGAAACUAAUGAAGAAGUGGUCAACUUGUGCUUGAUGGCUCUCGAGGAUGAUUCUUCGUCAUCGGAUGUCUCCACUUCAAAUGAUGAGGUAAGUUCUCGAUCUAAAGUUUUACAUAACUUACAUCUCUUUAGUGAAUCUUCAUUGCAUUUAUUGGAUUUGAGUAAAAGUGAUUUGAUUGAUUUGGUGGUUGAAAUAAAUAAAAUAAGUAGUAGUGCUAAUCAACGUACUCUCUCACUAUGGUCCGAGAAGGAAAACAUUGAAAAGAUGAACAAAACUCAAGAAGAAGAGUUAUCUCGGAUUAAGGAUUUAAAUCUUAAAAAUGAGGAAGAAAUCUCAUCUCUUUGUGAACAAAAUGAUAUCUUGAAAAAUGAGCAUAAUAAGAGUAGAGAUAUUAUUAUGAGAUUGGAAGUUGAAAAUGUUUCCUUAGUUCUACAAACCGAGGAAUUAGAAAAUGAGAAGCUACAAUUAAAUAGAGAUAAUACUAAGCUUCAUAUUGACUUGUUGAAUUUGAAAAUCCAAAAUGAGUCAUUAACUCAAGAAAAAUCAACUUCGGUUUCUCAAAAAGAUAACCUUGAAUUAGUUCAUGCCUUGAAAGAAAAAGACAAGAUAUUUGAGUUAGAAACUCAAAAGUUGAAGGAUGAACACUCCAAGAUUUUAGCUCAUGUUUUAGAUCAAGAAAGGAUUCUUAAUGAUAAAUUAAAUGUCUUGAUCAAGGAAAAUGAAAAUCUUGAAGUUGUAGUUCAAAGGUUCACUAAGGGAAAUAAGAUGUUAGAUAGAAUGGUACAUUCUAAGACAUCAUAUAAUCAUGAAGGAUUAGGAUAUGAUAAAAAUGCUCAAACUAAAAAGUUUGUACAUGAUAAGAAACAAACUACCUUUGUUCCCGCCUCACCUAGAUAUAAAUGUUCAUAUUGCAAUAAAGAUGGACAUACGGUUGAAUAUUGUAGAAUCAAGAAUGGUGAGAUUAAGGGGAAGUAUGUAUGGGUUCGUAAAGGAACAAAACCAUAUCAUAAGGUUGAUCAAAAAGUGAGAAAUAAAAACGUCGAUAAUGCUCAAAGACAACCACGGUUUAGUUAUGUUCAACAACCUAUUUCGUAUCAGUUUAGUUAUGUUCAACAACCUAUUUCGUAUCAACAUAGAAACACAAGGUAUAAUUCAAAUGGACAAACUUCUAGAAGUCGUUCUAUUCCUAGUCAACAUUUCUAUCCACAGAAUACCAUGUUUUAUCCAAAUGAUAGAAAUAACAUGUAUCAAGGUGUAAACUUUCAAAGAAACAAUCCUUUAAGAAACACAAGAUACUAUGACUAUUCUAGGAAUGUUGCAUCUAGAAACUCCUAUGUGCCUAAUCAUGAUUAUGCUAUGCCUAGUUUCUAUCAUGCGAACUCGAAUGCUUAUAAUGAUACACUAACCCGAGGACCCUUAAGACGAAAGGGUACCUAUAAAUUUAAUUGAUUUGUUUUGUAGGUGUGCCUUGUUACUAAGCAUGAUAUGUGGUACCUUGAUAGUGGUUGUUCAAGACACAUGACCGGUAAUAAGUCUCUCUUGAAUGGCAUUAGAAAGGUUGCCGCUGGAAGUGUCACGUUUGGAGAUAGUAGCAAGGGUAGUAUCAUUGGUAUUGGAGAUAUUGGUAAUGAACAUUUCAAGAUUGCUAACGUACAACUAGUUACGGGACUUAAGUAUAAUCUUCUCUCCAUUAGUCAACUUUGUGAUAAUGGAUAUAAGGUAAUUUUCUAUCCUACUCAUUGUUCUAUUUUAAAUAAGGAUGGAAAAUUGAUGCUUACUUGUCCUCGUAGCAAAAAUGUGUACACUUGUGAUAUUAGCAAACAUUCUAAUGUAUGUCUAUUUUCUACUCUUGAUGAUCCAUGGUUGUGGCAUCGUAGAUUAGGACAUGCGAACAUGAAAUUAAUUAAAAGUAUUUCAACUAAUGAUCAUCUAAGGGGUAUACCAAAGUUAAACUUUAAAAAGGAUCAUAUUUGUGAGGCUUGUGAAAUAGGAAAGCAAAUUCGAGCAUCUCACAAAGCUAAGUUUAUGGUAUCUACCUCUAGACCUGUCGAACUAUUA